UACGGAGGGUGCAAACGUUGCUCGGAAUCAUUGGGCGUAAAGCGCACGUAGGCGGCCUGUUAAGUCGGGUGUGAAAUCCCCAGGCUCAACCUGGGAACUGCGUCCGAUACUGGCAGGCUUGAAUCCGGGAGAGGGAUGCGGAAUUCCAGGUGUAGCGGUGAAAUGCGUAGAUAUCUGGAGGAACACCGGUGGCGAAGGCGGCAUCCUGGACCGGCAUUGACGCUGAGGCGCGAAAGCCAGGGGAGCAAACGGG
rnacentral:rRNA from 1 species